AAAUAGCCACGCUAAACAGAAGUUAAGAAAAUGUUGAUGCCCGUUUUCAUGAAUAACUUUGAGGGGCUCAAGACUUCAGUAGAGGAAGAAUUUGCAGAUGUGGUGGAAAAAGCAAGAGAUCUAGAAUUAGAAGUGAACCCUGAAGAUGAGACUGAGUUGCUGCAAUGUCAUGAGAAAAGACGUUUGAAUGGAUGAGGAGUUGCUUUUUUGAAUGAGCAAAGAAGAAGAUGGAUCUUCACAUCACCCCUACACUAAGCCCAGGGAGAGCAAUUAGAAGUCCAAGGGGAGAAAGAGGAUAAAAAAAUGAGGAAAAUGGAGGCAACCGCACACAUCCUGAUAGUGUGAGGUCAAAAAACAAAGAGCUGCUGGGUACGCCAAGGCUGGAGACUCAUGGAUACAACAAGGACAAUACCCCAUGAAGAGAGACACCCAAGGGGGUUUUAAGCCAAAUGAAGUUUAGGUGAAUCAAGAGACAUCCUCUCCUGCACCCACCUCCCACUGUCCUGGCUCUUGUCCCUAUAAAAGACAUUGGCAACUUGAGGACAAUCCUAAGGAGAGGCCCUGUUGGUGAGGAGCUAUCUCACCGGAGAACUGAAGGGAAAAGGUUUUGGAGGACAUAGUCUUUAGAGGGGAAGUUGAGCGGUGGCAACAAAAGUUACCCAUCGGCGAAAACAGCUGGGGAGCCAUCUGUCUGGGAGAAGCUUCCCGCUCAUUUCAUUACCCCCCUUCCUGCAUUGGUAAGUGGCUUGGCUGCUGAUAGGAGGCGGUUUAUAGC